AAAUCAUCUCUCAUUUGGCAAACUGUCGCUUUAUUUAAUCAAACUCUCCAUUUUCAGAGAACUCAAUGCAAAUCCCCUGGGAACUUUUAACGCUGGCGAAAAAUUGUGAAAAUAUUUGAUGAUAAUUAGUGGAGUGAGUUGACACCUGCAGCCGAUACUUGUCGCACUGUGAAUGGAUGACACCGAAAUAUAGUGCUAUAGUCUGUAUCAGUUUACGGGAAAACAUGAAUGAAACCUACUCACCGCGUGGAGGCCAGGAUAUAGGACUGUUUCAGGAACAGGCUAUAAUUAGCUACUGACUCACGGGAUUGAUGCUGAUAGCGUGGACACCGUCCAAUCAAAUCCCAAUGGGAACCAUUUUGUCACGAGAAGAUAUUCCGAGAGGAUAAAAGAGAAAUUGCUCAUUUUAACCUUAAUUGUGAAUUCAAUGAUUCAAUUAGAAAAUGAGCAAACGAGUUAAAACAACGCCGGGCAGUGACUCCAUUCCUCGACUUCUGACUCACUUAAUGUGUUCUGUUGGCUAAUCUUGGCCAAUAAUCUCCCUACAUAAUUCAUACUAGUAAUUUUAUCGUUUUCUUCCUAACAAGACAUCGAUUUUGGGUUUUAGUUUAAUUAGCUUCGAAUUCUUUUAGCUAUUUGAUACUCUUGCAAUUCUCUGGAAUUCUUCAACUACUGUUCCAUGGACAUUAAACAAACUGUAGAGCCCAAGCUUCAUCAGAAUUCCUUCAAAAUUUUUGAUAUGCCUUACUUUCCAUGAAAAAGGAAUAUAUAUUGUGGGUACAUGUAUGUGUGCUGGUUUAAAAUUAAAAUUAAUGGUUGU
rnacentral:sRNA from 1 species